UACAGAGGUCUCAAGCGUUGUUCGGAUUCAUUGGGCGUAAAGGGUGUGUAGGUGGCGCGCUAAGUCGGGGGUGAAAUCCUGGAGCUCAACUCCAGAACUGCCUUCGAUACUGGCGAUCUCGAGUUCGGGAGAGGUGAGUGGAACUGCGAGUGUAGAGGUGAAAUUCGUAGAUAUUCGCAAGAACACCAGUGGCGAAGGCGGCUCACUGGCCCGAUACUGACGCUGAGGUGCGAAAGCGUGGGGAGCAAACAGG
rnacentral:rRNA from 1 species